CUACGGGCCGCUGCAGUGGGGAAUAUUGGACAAUGGGCGCAAGCCUGAUCCAGCAAUGCCGCGUGUGUGAAGAAGGCCUGCGGGUUGUAAAGCACUUUCAAUUGUGAAGAAAAGGGGUUGGUUAAUACCCGACCUUCUUGACGUUAACUUUAGAAGAAGCACCGGCUAACUCCGUGCCAGCAGCCGCGGUAAUACGGAGGGUGCGAGCGUUAAUCGGAAUUACUGGGCGUAAAGCGCGCGUAGGCGGUUUGUUAAGUCAGAUGUGAAAGCCCCGGGCUCAACCUGGGAACUGCAUUUGAUACUGGCAGGCUAGAGUGUGGUAGAGGGAAGCGGAAUUCCGGGUGUAGCGGUGAAAUGCGUAGAUAUCCGGAGGAACAUCAGUGGCGAAGGCGGCUUCCUGGACCAACACUGACGCUGAGGUGCGAAAGCGUGGGUAGCAAACAGGAUUAGAUACCCCGGUAGUC
rnacentral:rRNA from 1 species